rnacentral:rRNA from 1 species
UACGUAGGGUGCGAGCGUUGUCCGGAUUUAUUGGGCGUAAAGAGCGUGUAGGCGGCCAGGUAGGUCUGCUGUGAAAACUCGAGGCUCAACCUCGAGACGUCGGCGGAAACCAUCUGGCUAGAGUCCGGAAGAGGAGAGUGGAAUUCCUGGUGUAGCGGUGAAAUGCGCAGAUAUCAGGAAGAACACCCGUGGCGAAGGCGGCUCUCUGGGACGGUACUGACGCUGAGAGACGAAAGCUAGGGGAGCGAAUGGG